rnacentral:lncRNA from 1 species
UUAUAUCUAUUGUCGAUUGUUUGUUUCACUAACCCCUCUUUGAAAAUAUAACCUAGUAAAUUGAUUUUGGAAAUAGUCAUAUAAAAAAUUAGGUUGUAUUUGAAACUUAUCUUACACUGAUUAAUGACUUUCAAGCAAUCGACAACUCAUCAUUCAUCUCAUGUUGUUUUAUCAAUAAAAUAUCUCCAAUACUUCUAAUAUUUGUCCAACUUUCUUCCAUAUUUGUUCAUUUUUUCAAAUCAUCAAAUUUUAUGAUUUCAAGAAUGAAUUAGUAGAAAAUGAAGUGUUGAAUAAAGAACUUGAAACAUUGGAGGGAU